rnacentral:lncRNA from 1 species
GUGAUUUGAUUUUAUUCUGUCUGAUGAGCAUGCUCGGCAUUUGAUGCCAUUAUGAUAAGAAGCUAUGAUCAUAUGCUAGGCACGUGGGUGUCUUCUGUUCUGUUAGGGCGGACGCGCUCUAUAUGUUCUGAAUCUGUUGGCGACCUAAGGCCAUUCUGAAUCUGUUCUGAAAACCUAUCUGCUUCUUUUUCUCCUAAGUGUAUGUGAGCCCUUGUA